rfam:Echinostoma caproni strain Egypt genome assembly, scaffold: ECPE_scaffold0013455
GCACUGCUGACGAGUCCCGAACUGAACGAAACAGCUGUCCAGUGC